AGAGGGUGAAACUCCCGUCCGCCUGGUAGAAUGAGUCUUUGUCAACGAGUCGAGUUGUUUGGGAUUGCAGCUCUAAUUUGGUGGUAAAUUCCAUCUAAAGCUAAAUAUUGGUGGGAGACCGAUAGCGUACAAGUACCGUGAGGGAAAGAUGCAAAGAACUUUGAAAAGAGAGUUAAAGAGUACCCGAAAUUGCUAAAACGGAAGCGAAGGAAACCAGUGUGUGUUGGUUCAUAUUUCCUUGGCCACUUGUGGUUUGGGCGCUGUGAGCUUGCGUGGGUUUGGGUUGGUUGAUCCCUUUGGAAGAGCGCAGUCAGAGUUGAUGUCU
rnacentral:rRNA from 1 species